GGAAAUAAUAGUAGAGCAUUUAUUGCUUCAGUACCAAGUUUAACCGUUCCAAAUGAAAGCUGCGCUUGUCUUCCUGCUUUCUUGGCUGGCCUUUUCCAAUGGCGGUCUCCCAAGCCCUCCACGUGGACCAGCUCAUACAACUUGCCUUCCGAAUUGCAACGGAUUGCAGGCAGGGCAGACAUGUGGUACAAAUUGUACUUGCUGCCAGCACUCACGCUUCUCCCAAUUCUUAGUCUGCCUGUGGGAUGGUUCGAAGCUACCACAUUGUAUUAUAAGGCCGGACAAUCGAGGAAAGUAGAACACGGGCAUGUUUCACCGUUACCAUGCAUUGGUUUGCUUCCUUAUUUUUACAGCUUAUAAUAUUGUUCACGUAUGUGUUAGGCUCCUCAUUUCGCACGUACUCCACAAAAAGGAGUGAGGCGUAUUUCAAUGAAUAAAGCGUUGUUUAGGCU